rnacentral:rRNA from 1 species
UACGUAGGGGCCUAGCGUUGUCCGGAUUUAUUGGGCGUAAAGAGCUCGUAGGCGGCUUGUCGCGUCGUCUGUGAAAUCCCGCGGCUCAACCGCGGGUCUGCAGUCGAUACGGGCAGGCUAGAGUUCGGUAGGGGAGACUGGAAUUCCUGGUGUAGCGGUGAAAUGCGCAGAUAUCAGGAGGAACACCGGUGGCGAAGGCGGGUCUCUGGGCCGAUACUGACGCUGAGGAGCGAAAGCGUGGGGAGCGAACAGG